rnacentral:tRNA from 1 species
CAAGGGAUAGUUUAUAUAAAAUAUUAAUUUUGGAGAUUAAGGAAGGGGUUUAUCUUUCCCUUGA